UGGUUUGCAUGGUGGUGACUUUGGGAGUCAUAGUGUGGCUGUGGGUACCCUCAUUAGAAAGGGAAUCUUUGAAAGGUCUGUAUGCACAGAGAUGUUCUGCACAGUGGCUGGGCCCAGACCACGCAUUCACUGAGAAGCAGAACCUGGUCCUCUUAUUACCUGCGCUGAGAGUUAAUGAAGGUUAAAACACUCUUGGAGGCAUCUGAGCAGGCAUUAACCAGGAGAGCUGAAACAUUUGAAGCUGGUCAGAACCUUAUUGGAGAUGAUGAAGGAAGAUGACACCAAAGUUGCUGUAUUACACAAAGUAGUUGGAGAUUCUUAGAAGCAAUGUUGCCACUGUACUUAAUCUAUUUCUUUGAGCCUGGGAGAAAAUGCCAGCAUAGCCAAGACCUCUGCUGUAGUCUUGGGACUGCUUUGCUGAUGGAGGUAGAUGGGUCUUUGUUGAAACAUGACACAACAAUGUGACUGUUGCCCCUUCCACAGAUGAGAAGAGGCUCUUCCAGCUGCCCUGGCACUGGAAGACCUGCCAUGUAGCCAUGAGUGGCUAAGCUGUGACUGGUUUAAUUGGGAAGUAGGGACUGAAUGUGAAUAAGGAUGGUCUG